AGGGGAUUUGCCUCACAGAAGCCAGAAGAGCCUACUGCUUAACUCUCCCUGCUCUCAGAGUCCAGGAGUUACUAAAACUUCUCUAUCUGAAGAGGUGGGGAAAGCUGGGUCAAGAGCUCCUUGAGUUAUUUCAGUGACUGCUGCCAUCAAGAGGAAGUGCAAAAAAGGUGGAAGCAGAAAUUCAAAUGUUGAAACAGUUGUCCAAUAGAAAUAUAAGGUGGAUCUUGUAAAUAAAGAGCCAUCUUGUCCACUCUGGUUAGCUGGAUAACGUCCCUCAAAGAUAUCCAGGCCCUAAUCCUUGUAAUCAGUGAAUGCUACCUUAUACAGAAAAAGGGUCUUUGCAGUUAUAAUUAAAUCAAGGGCCUGGAGAAGGGUCCUUCUGGAUUAUCUAGGCAAGCUCUAGAGGUCGUCACAGGAGCUUAACAGGGAGGCAGAGGGAGAUUUGACUAUAGAGAAGAAAGCCAUGAUGCUGGAGCAGAGAAAAAUUUGAAGAUUUAUGCUCCUGGCUUUGAAGAUAAAGCAAGGGGCCAUGAGCCACGGAACGCAAGGAACACAGCUCUGGAAGCUGGAAACAGCAACUCUUCCCUAGAUCCUCUCAAGGGACAAGGUCUUGCCAACACCUUGAGUUCAGCCCAGUGAAACAGAUUUUGUACUUCUACCUCUCCAACUGUGUAAGAAUCAAUAUAUGUUCUUUUAAACCAACAA